UACGUAGGGGGCUAGCGUUGUCCGGAUUUAUUGGGCGUAAAGAGCGUGUAGGCGGCCUGACAGGUCUGCUGUGAAAACUCGAGGCUCAACCUCGAGAUGUCGGCGGAAACCGUCUGGCUAGAGUCCGGAAGAGGUGAGUGGAACUGCGAGUGUAGAGGUGAAAUUCGUAGAUAUUCGCAAGAACACCAGUGGCGAAGGCGGCUCACUGGCCCGGUACUGACGCUGAGGUGCGAAAGCGUGGGGAGCAAACAGG
rnacentral:rRNA from 1 species